GUGUGUGUGUGUGUGUGCUUCUCACUUCCUGCAGUCUCAGUUCAUUCACAGCUUCUGUCAGAGCGAGUAGUAGCAGCAGCAGUAGCAGCAGCAGCAGCCAUGAGCGGACGAGUCGGAGACCUCAGCCCGAAACAGGCUGAACAUUUAACUCAGUUCCGGGCGAGGAUCCAGGACAUCGUCCCCUCGCUGCCCGCGCAGCACGACCACUACCUCCUGCGCUGGCUCCGAGCUCGAAGCUUCAACGUUGAGAAAGCUGAAGCCAUGAUCAGAAAGCAUGUGGAGUUCAGGAGGAAGAUGAAUGUGGACUCCAUCAUAUCUGACUGGAAACCUCCAGAGGUGAUCGAGGAGUACGUGUCUGGAGGGAUGUGUGGUUACGACCGAGAGGGGAGCCCCAUCUGGUAUGACAUCAUCGGCCCCCUGGACCCUAAAGGUCUGUUGCUGUCGGCAACCAAACAGGACUUCCUGAAGUCCAAGAUCCGACACACGGAGAUGAUGCAGAGGGAGUGUCGGAGGCAGUCGGAGAAGUUGGGGAAGAACGUUGAAGCGAUCUCUCUGAUCUACGACUGUGAAGGACUGGGACUGAAACACAUCUGGAAACCGGCUAUUGAGACUUACGGAGAGAUCCUCACCAUGUAUGAAGAGAACUAUCCCGAGGGGCUGAAACAAGUCUUUCUUAUCAAAGCUCCUAAAAUGUUCCCCAUGGCCUACAACCUGAUCAAACACUUUCUAUGUGAGGAGACCAGACGCAAGAUCAACGUUUUAGGAAGUAACUGGCAGGAAGUGUUGCGUCAGCACAUCGACCCGGAUCAGCUCCCUGUGGCGUACGGAGGAACCCGGACUGACCCUGAUGGAGACCCUCGCUGCAGAACCAUGAUAAAUUACGGCGGUACCGUUCCCCGGUCGUACUACGUUCAGGACUCGGUGAAGGUUGAGUACGACGGCAGCGUGACGGUCAGCCGAGGCUCCGUCUUUCAGCUGGAGUACGAUGUUACAGCCGCCAGCAGCCUGCUGAGGUGGCAGUUUGCCAGUGAUGGAGCAGAUAUCGGGUUUGGAGUGUACAGACGGACCAAAAAGGGCGGCGGACAGAAAGUGGCGGAGAUGCUGCAGGUUCUGCCCAGCGAACGCUACAACGCACACCUGGUCCCUGAAGACAGCUGCCUCACCUGCACCGAGCCCGGAGUCUACGUGCUGUGUUUUGACAACAGCUACAGCAUCCUGCAGUCCAAGAGGGUGAGCUACAAAGUGGAGGUUCUCCCUCCUCCGGAUGGACAGACGCAGAGUCCACGCAGCCGAGGAGACUGAUCCAGAACACAGAUCCCUCUGUCACAGACCAAUCAUUGACGGCUAAAUCAACGUUUUCACAUCGAGCAGAAAAGAGGCGGGGUUGUUGUUGUUGUUAGAUAACCCAUGUGAUGUGUAAAGAUUUACAAUUUGUGACAAUUCAGGACAACAAAGAAGAUCAUAAGUAUUAUUUUUUUUAGAAAAACUCGUUUCACCAACAUUUCAAACCAGAUAACUUUAACUGUUACAAUUAAAGAUUAUUGGGGUGCCUGGGUAGCUCACCUGGUUGAGCUAUGCGCCCCAUGAACGGAGGCUCAGUUUGUGCCGCAACGGCCGCGGGUUUGACUCCGACCUGCGGCCCUUUGCUGCAUGUCAUUCCCCCUUUCUCCCCUUUCAUGUCUUCAGCUGUCCUAUAUAAUAAAGGCAUAAAAUAUAUCUUUAAAAACAAAAAAAACAACAAGGAUUAUUUUCAUGUUUUUGUAAUUUAAUCUGUGAGAGGACGACCGUAUCGUCACUUUCACUCGACUGAAGUUUUUGUGUUUGUUGUUGAAAGAAGGGCUGCAGCUAGUCUAUAUCCUCGACCUUCCACUUCCGGGAUUGCCCCGAAAUCCGCCAUUUGUUCUUAUUUUCAGCCGGAUGUCCGUCCCCUUCCUCUUUCUUUGUGUUGGCGUUCUAACCUCCGGUGGAUUUCUGAGGACUAUGGUUAACU